rnacentral:lncRNA from 1 species
GGUCAGCAGUGCUUUAGCAUAUGCAGGUCGCUUUAUAUGAUGCAGCUGGGGAGUUGGCGAAAAUGCUGCCGCCGCCGCUGUGUGUCGCAGUCGCUCGCUGGCGCCGGGGCUGGUCGCUUGCACGCAUGGCGCACGCAAAUAUGAUUUUGAAGCUGAAAUGGGGCUGUGCUGGCUCACAGGGCAAGAUUAAGUCGCUGGAGCAGAUCUACCUGUUCUCCAUGCCCGUCAAGGAGUACCAGAUUGUUGAGUACUUCCUGGGCUCGGCUCUGAAGGACGAGGUGAUGAAGAUCAUGCCCGUGCAGAAGCAGACCCGCGCCGGCCAGCGCACCCGCUUC